UACGUAGGGGGCGAGCGUUGUCCGGAAUCAUUGGGCGUAAAGAGCGUGUAGGCGGACUGGAAGGUCUGGUGUGAAAGCCCGGGGCUCAACCCCGGAGGGUCACUGGAAACCAACAGUCUUGAGUCCGGAAGAGGAGAGUGGAAUUCCUGGUGUAGCGGUGGAAUGCGCGGAUAUCAGGAGGAACACCGGUGGCGAAGGCGGAUCUCUGGGCCAUUACUGACGCUGAGGAGCGAAAGCGUGGGGAGCGAACAGG
rnacentral:rRNA from 1 species